AUGAACGCUGGCGGCAUGCCUAAUACAUGCAAGUCGAACGAGAGGAAGGAAAGCUUGCUUUCCUGAAUCUAGUGGCGAACGGGUGAGUAACACGUAGGUAACCUGCCCAUGUGCCCGGGAUAACUUCUGGAAACGGAUGCUAAAACCGGAUAGGUAGCAGACAAGCAUUUGACUGCUAUUAAAGUGGCCUUGGCCAUGAACAUGGAUGGACCUGCGGUGCAUUAGCUAGUUGGUGAGGUAACGGCCCACCAAGGCGACGAUGCAUAGCCGGCCUGAGAGGGCGGACGGCCACAUUGGGACUGAGACACGGCCCAAACUCCUACGGGAGGCAGCAGUAGGGAAUUUUCGUCAAUGGGGGGAACCCUGAACGAGCAAUGCCGCGUGAGUGAGGAAGGUCUUCGGAUCGUAAAGCUCUGUUGUAAGAGAAAAACGGCACUCAUAGGGAAUGAUGAGUGAGUGAUGGUAUCUUACCAGAAAGUCACGGCUAACUACGUGCCAGCAGCCGCGGUAAUACGUAGGUGGCGAGCGUUAUCCGGAAUGAUUGGGCGUAAAGGGUGCGUAGGUGGCAGAUCAAGUCUGGAGUAAAAGGUAUGGGCUCAACCCGUACUGGCUCUGGAAACUGAUCAGCUAGAGAACAGAAGAGGACGGCGGAACUCCAUGUGUAGCGGUAAAAUGCGUAGAUAUAUGGAAGAACACCGGUGGCGAAGGCGGCCGUCUGGUCUGGAUUCUGACACUGAAGCACGAAAGCGUGG
rnacentral:rRNA from 1 species